UUCAGGUCGGAUGAAACCGUGGAAAAUCUGCGUCUCGCGAAGACAAAUAAACGGUGGAUUAUCAUUUUCGUUUAUUGCCAGAGGUUUUUCGGUCGCGUAACUAGUUUCGCGAAAAUUAUCCGUUAUCGUCGCUUUGUCACGAUCAUUACCACCGGCGAGAAUUGCGAUCUCGCCGAAACAGCUACCAGCUGCAAUCUCGGAGCUGUGCUCGACAUUGCACAAUCGCCCGUUAAAUGGAAAAUACCAGCAACCCGUUGCGAGACAGAUUAACAAUGAUAGUUAUUCCAAACAGAUAGGAAAACUGUCGAUGCCAAUACAACCAUAGUGAUGAUUAAAGCAAAUGUGAUUGCAUACGAAGCAAUUAAGUAUUGCUUGUAAUUAUUAGUUCGUCAUUGACUUGUACAGUCUGCUCAAGUUCACAUACUGUUACUACAAAUAGACCAGAGUGUCCGGAUAAGUUACUGCUACGUUUUUAAACAAGUAAUGUAAAAUUAAAUAUUUAUGUCCAGGUGACUGCAUACGAAGCAAUUAAGUAUUGCUCGUAAUUGUUAGUUCGUCAUUGACUUGUACAGUCUGCUCAAGUUCACAUACUGUUACUACAAAUAGACCAGGGUGUCCGGACAAGUAUGAACGGCGGACGAAAUGUUGUUCGCUUCGAUAUCAAACCGUCUCCGAAUUACAUUAAAUCGUGCGCCAAUAAUGGAACCGACUGUCCGAAAUACGAUAUCACGGCAUUAAACGUUUGUGUUUGUUCAACAAUAUCGCACGAUACUCGAAUGUUCAAAUAUUGGAAGGUUUGUCACCGGUGGAAAUAAGUUUUCCUGUUGACAGGUGACUGAUUAGACUCAAGUUCAAGUUUCCACUGGAUAUCCAUCAGUCCAUGUAACAAGUAUCAGUUCAAGUUAUUGAAUUCAAAUGAAAAUAAAUAUCUGACAACUGA